rnacentral:rRNA from 1 species
GACGAACGCUGGCGGCGUGCCUAAUACAUGCAAGUAGAACGCUGAAGGGGGACCUUGUUCUUAUGGAUGAGUUGCGAACGGGUGAGUAACGCGUAGGUAACCUGCCUGGAAGCGGGGGAUAACUAUUGGAAACGAUAGCUAAUACCGCAUAAAAGUGGUUGUCGCAUGCAUUUUGCUUAAAAGGUGGAAUUGCUUUACGACCUGAUGGACUUGCGUUGUAUUAGCUUGUGGGUGGGGUAACGCCUCACCAAGUCGUCGAUACAUAGCCGACUCGCGAGGGGGAUCGGCCACACUGGGACUGAGACACGGCCCAGACGCCUACGGGAGGCAGCAGUAGGGGAUCUUCAGGAAGGGACGGAAGUCUGACCGAGCAACGCCGCGUGAGGGAAGAAGGUUUUCGGAUCGUAAAGCUCGGUUGUAAGAGGAGAACGAGUGUGAGAGUGGAAAGUUCACACUGUGACGGUAUCUUACCAGAAAGGGAGGGCUAACUACGUG